rnacentral:tRNA from 1 species
GGAUCGGUAGCUUAGAUGGAAAAGCUCUCGUCUUGAAUCCAAGUAUCGUGUGUUCAAAUCCCACCUGAGCAC